GACGAACGCUGGCGGCGUGCUUAACACAUGCAAGUCGAGCGAUGAAGUUUCUUCGGAAACUGAUUAGCGGCGGACGGGUGAGUAACACGUGGGCAACCUGCCCUAUAGAGGGGAAUAGCCUUCCGAAAGGAAGAUUAAUACCCCAUAAGAUUGUAACUUCACAUGGAGUAGCAAUUAAAGGAGUAAUCCGCUAUAGGAUGGGCCCGCGUCGCAUUAGCUAGUUGGUGAGGUAACGGCUCACCAAGGCGACGAUGCGUAGCCGACCUGAGAGGGUGAUCGGCCACAUUGGGACUGAGACACGGCCCAGACUCCUACGGGUGGCUG
rnacentral:rRNA from 1 species